rnacentral:rRNA from 1 species
AUUGAACGCUGGCGGCAUGCCUUACACAUGCAAGUCGAACGGGCUUUGGGGCUUGCUCCAAAGUUAGUGGCGAACGGGUGAGUAAUAUAUCGGAACGUACCCUUGAGUGGGGGAUAACUAAUCGAAAGGUUAGCGAAUAGCGCAUACGAUCUACGGAUGAAAGUGGGGGACCGCAAGGCCUCAUGCUCGUGGAGCGGCCGAUAUCUGAUUAGCUAGUUGGUGGGGUAAAGGCCCGCCAAGGCGACGAUCAGUAGCUGGUCUGAGAGGCCGAUCAGCCACACUGGGACUGAGACCCGGCGCAGACUCCUACAGGAGGGAGCGGGGGGGCAUGGUGGGCAAUUGGCGGAAGCGGGUUCCAGUAAUGCCGCGUGAGUGAAGUAGGCCUUCGUGUUGUAAAGCUCUUUUGUCAGGGAAGAAACGGUGGGGGCUAAUAGCCUCUGCUGAUGACGGUACCUGAAGAAAAAGCACCGGCUAACUACGUGCCAGCCGCCGCAGUAA